rnacentral:rRNA from 1 species
AUUGAACGCUGGCGGCAUGCCUUACACAUGCAAGUCGAACGGCAGCACGGGUGCUUGCACCUGGUGGCGAGUGGCGAACGGGUGAGUAAUACAUCGGAACAUGUCCUGUAGUGGGGGAUAGCCCGGCGAAAGCCGGAUUAAUACCGCAUACGAUCUACGGAUGAAAGCGGGGGCCCUUCGGGCCUCGCGCUAUAGGGUUGGCCGAUGGCUGAUUAGCUAGUUGGUGGGGUAAAGGCCUACCAAGGCGACGAUCAGUAGCUGGUCUGAGAGGACGACCAGCCACACUGGGACUGAGACACGGCCCAGACUCCUACGGGAGGCAGCAGUGGGGAAUGUUGGACAAUGGGCGAAAGCCUGAUCCAGCAAUGCCGCGUGUGUGAAGAAGGCCUUCGGGUUGUAAAGCACUUUUGUCCGGAAAGAAAUCCUUGGCCCUAAUACGGUCGGGGGAUGACGGUACCGGAAGAAUAAGCACCGGCUAACUACGUG